UACGUAGGCAGCAAGCGUUGUUCGGAGUUACUGGGCGUAAAGGGUGUGUAGGCGGUUGUUUAAGUUUGGUGUGAAAUCUCCCGGCUCAACUGGGAGGGUGCGCCGAAUACUGAAUGACUAGAGUGCGGGAGAGGUGAGUGGAAUUCCUGGUGUAGCGGUGAAAUGCGUAGAUAUCAGGAGGAACACCGGUGGUGUAGACGGCUCACUGGACCGUAACUGACGCUGAAAUACGAAAGCGUGGGUAGCAAACAGG
rnacentral:rRNA from 1 species